rnacentral:rRNA from 1 species
UACGAAGGGGGCUAGCGUUGCUCGGAAUCACUGGGCGUAAAGCGCACGUAGGCGGAUUGUUAAGUCAGGGGUGAAAUCCUGGAGCUCAACUCCAGAACUGCCUUUGAUACUGGCGAUCUCGAGUCCGGGAGAGGUGAGUGGAACUGCGAGUGUAGAGGUGAAAUUCGCAGAUAUCAGGAGGAACACCAAUGGCGAAGGCAGCUCGCUGGGACGUGACUGACGCUGAGACGCGAAAGCGUGGGGAGCAAACAGG